GUGGGGAAUUUUGGACAAUGGGCGCAAGCCUGAUCCAGCCAUUCCGCGUGCAGGAUGAAGGCCUUCGGGUUGUAAACUGCUUUUGUACGGAACGAAAAGCCUCUGGUUAAUACCCGGGGGUCAUGACGGUACCGUAAGAAUAAGCACCGGCUAACUACGUGCCAGCAGCCGCGGUAAUACGUAGGGUGCGAGCGUUAAUCGGAAUUACUGGGCGUAAAGCGUGCGCAGGCGGUGAUGUAAGACAGUUGUGAAAUCCCCGGGCUCAACCUGGGAACUGCAUCUGUGACUGCAUUGCUGGAGUGCGGCAGAGGGGGAUGGAAUUCCGCGUGUAGCAGUGAAAUGCGUAGAUAUGCGGAGGAACACCGAUGGCGAAGGCAAUCCCCUGGGCCUGCACUGACGCUCAUGCACGAAAGCGUGGGGAGCAAACAGGAUUAGAAACCCUUGUAGUCC
rnacentral:rRNA from 1 species